CAUCCCGGCUUACCAACCCGAUGCAAACUGCGAAUACCGGAGAAUGUUAUCACGGGAGACACACGGCGGGUGCUAACGUCCGUCGUGAAGAGGGAAACAACCCAGACCGCCAGCUAAGGUCCCAAAGUCAUGGUUAAGUGGGAAACGAUGUGGGAAGGCCCAGACAGCCAGGAUGUUGGCUUAGAAGCAGCCAUCAUUUAAAGAAAGCGUAAUAGCUCACUGGUCGAGUCGGCCUGCGCGGAAGAUGUAACGGGGCUAAACCAUGCACCGAAGCUGCGGCAGCGAACGUAUCACUUAAAGCGAUUCAGCGGGUUACGAUUGACGGAGCGAAGCGACGUCAAAGCGUAUACAAAGUCGAGUCGGUUUAAGGAUACGUUCGUUGGGUAGGGGAGCGUUCUGUAAGCCUGCGAAGGUGGCCUGUGAGGGUUGCUGGAGGUAUCAGAAGUGCGAAUGCUGACAUAAGUAACGAUAAAGCGGGUGAAAAGCCCGCUCGCCGGAAGACCAAGGGUUCCUGUCCAACGUUAAUCGGGGCAGGGUGAGUCGACCCCUAAGGCGAGGCCGAAAGGCGUAGUCGAUGGGAAACGGGUUAAUAUUCCCGUACUUGGUGUUACUGCGAAGGGGGGACGGAGAAGGCUAUGUUGGCCGGGCGACGGUUGUCCCGGUUUAAGCGUGUAGGUGUGUGUUCCAGGUAAAUCCGGUUCACUUUAACACUGAGGCGUGACGACGAGGCACUACGGUGCUGAAGCAACAAAUGCCCUGCUUCCAGGAAAAGCCUCUAAGCAUCAGGUAACAUCAAAUCGUACCCCAAACCGACACAGGUGGUCAGGUAGAGAAUACCAAGGCGCUUGAGAGAACUCGGGUGAAGGAACUAGGCAAAAUGGUGCCGUAACUUCGGGAGAAGGCACGCUGACACGUAGGUGAAGUGAUUUACUCAUGGAGCUGAAGUCAGUCGAAGAUACCAGCUGGCUGCAACUGUUUAUUAAAAACACAGCACUGUGCAAACACGAAAGUGGACGUAUACGGUGUGACGCCUGCCCGGUGCCGGAAGGUUAAUUGAUGGGGUCAGCGCAAGCGAAGCUCCUGAUCGAAGCCCCGGUAAACGGCGGCCGUAACUAUAACGGUCCUAAGGUAGCGAAAUUCCUUGUCGGGUAAGUUCCGACCUGCACGAAUGGCGUAAUGAUGGCCAGGCUGUCUCCACCCGAGACUCAGUGAAAUUGAACUCGCUGUGAAGAUGCAGUGUACCCGCGGCAAGACGGAAAGACCCCGUGAACCUUUACUAUAGCUUGACACUGAACAUUGAGCCUUGAUGUGUAGGAUAGGUGGGAGGCUUUGAAGUGUGGACGCCAGUCUGCAUGGAGCCGACCUUGAAAUACCACCCUUUAAUGUUUGAUGUUCUAACGUGGACCCGUAAUCCGGGUUGCGGACAGUGUCUGGUGGGUAGUUUGACUGGGGCGGUCUCCUCCUAAAGAGUAACGGAGGAGCACGAAGGUUGGCUAAUCCUGGUCGGACAUCAGGAGGUUAGUGCAAUGGCAUAAGCCAGCUUGACUGCGAGCGUGACGGCGCGAGCAGGUGCGAAAGCAGGUCAUAGUGAUCCGGUGGUUCUGAAUGGAAGGGCCAUCGCUCAACGGAUAAAAGGUACUCCGGGGAUAACAGGCUGAUACCGCCCAAGAGUUCAUAUCGACGGCGGUGUUUGGCACCUCGAUGUCGGCUCAUCACAUCCUGGGGCUGAAGUAGGUCCCAAGGGUAUGGCUGUUCGCCAUUUAAAGUGGUACGCGAGCUGGGUUUAGAACGUCGUGAGACAGUUCGGUCCCUAUCUGCCGUGGGCGCUGGAGAACUGAGGGGGGCUGCUCCUAGUACGAGAGGACCGGAGUGGACGCAUCACUGGUGUUCGGGUUGUCAUGCCAAUGGCACUGCCCGGUAGCUAAAUGCGGAAGAGAUAAGUGCUGAAAGCAUCUAAGCACGAAACUUGCCCCGA
rnacentral:rRNA from 1 species